UUAUAAUGAUUAUUUUAAGUUAAAUAACAAAUUUGAGUGUUUAACUAUAAUGUUUAAUAGUCGUAAAUUUAAGGGGAAUAAUAAAUCUAUUUCUAUUUAAAGUAUUUUAUUGUAUAUUAUUUUAUAUUCUAGAUUCUGCUCCUGGCUGAAAUUUAAAGUAUUGCAGCUGUAGCCUGUAUACCAUACAUUCAACAUGAAAAGGACUGUCAGGAUGCUGCAUAAAAUGGUCUUAGCUAGAGCCUAGAAUGUUAAUUUCUUGGGAAUAUGCUGCAAGGAACUGACGGGGAGCAGUUUUCCUUACUAAUCAUAGAAGCAGUAAGAGACAGCCAAAGAAUUCCUCAAACACUUGACAUACCCAGAAAGAUCUUGAAGAAAAGAUUGGAACAGAUUGUAGCUUAAUUGUUAAAACUAUUUAAGUGAAUUUAAGCUGCACUUGAACUGCAUUUUUGAAAUAAAAUAUCUGAAGUAUUUAAUAUUGUCUUGAUAUUUUGUUAAACCUGGUUACUUUGCUUUAUAUCCAAAAAUCAAAGUAUGGUGGGUUUUCAACGUUGAAAUGACAUUGAAACUUCAACGUUGUGCCAACGUUGAAGCUGCAACGUUGUAUCAACGUUGAAAUUUCAACGUUGUUUCAACUUUCAAAUCCGAAUAUAAAUCCAACCUUAUUUCAACGUUGAAAUCUGACCAUAAUUCAACGUUGAAACAACGUUGAUGUGCCUGCUGGGUUAUUAUCA